CUGUGCUCUGCCUUGCUGCGCAGCCCCGGCGUCUGCUCUCUCCCUCGGCCUCGUCAGCGCGUCAGUCGUGUUGUUGUGGCCGCCAUUGCAGUCAUGGAGGUUUUUCCGACAGCUGCGCCAUCCGCCUGGCAACAGCUCUGAUGCUUUAAUGAAAAUCUGGAAAAUAGGACAAAGCAAGAGAAAACAAAAGGAAAACCUCCUGAAGUUCCAUUAUCCAAACUGAAUCAACAUUAACAGAUUGGCUUAUUUUGGCUUAUUUCCAUAUGAAAUAUUACAUUUUCCUGUACUCAGGCAGGCACCAAAAGAGAUGGCAAGGUAACAGGAAGAUGACUUGGGUUGAGUGUGCUUUUGUCCACAUGAGAACUCAGACUGUGGCAAGACCAGAACAGGAACAUCAGGUUAAUGCAUAAUUCCUGAAUGAUGAAGGCACAAAUGAUGCACUGAAAUGGAAAAUUCAGCUCCUGAUUCUCUGUCCAGAGAAACAUUCCUGCAAGCUCACCUCGGAGAUUUUCAUGGCAGCCAACAGAGAGAGUGGCCGAGGAAGAGAAAAAUGACGAGGCUUACCCGGCUCACAAGGCAAAUGACAUCUAUUUUGUGCUUAUUUUGCAUCAUCACCGAACUUUGUUUCUUAAAACAGGACAGUCUCCAUCAGAUCUGAAAAUUAGAAAAGUGAAAAUAUUUUUCAAAAAAUUCCUAAAAUCGCUAUGUUAUACUACCGGUGUGCAGUGCGGUUCUCCCACUCCCGUUCUUCCUAUAACGCCGUGCUCUUGUCUGUUUUUAGUCAAGUGGGGGUAAUCCACCUGUCUCCUGUCUGGUCUAUUAGAAAAUUCACUGGAAGUGAGUGAGUGACAACUUAAAAAUUUCAGUUAAAAAAUCUAUUGACUGUCUAUUACCUUAUCUCGGAGCCAUGAAUAUUAGUGGAGGAGCAAUGUAAUACAGUCCCCACUCUCACGUGGCUGAUGCACUGAGAAGUUCUGGAAGCAGGCAUAGAAGCAAUUCUAAGUCAGUACUACCAGUUUUAUGAUGGCAGGAAUAGAGGGUGCAGGGGAAACACGGGACUUUUACCCAAAUAUAGAAGGGUCACGGUCUUUGUCUUUAAAAUUUUCCUUUGCAUUAUUGUUUAAUUUUAAAAUUAUACAACUUUUUAAAGUCUAAAUUUAAAAACUUCAAAAUUAGAGAAUGGGAUGAUUAUUGGUAAUGUUCUGUGAUCUCAUUUUUUUCUUUUGUCUUUUUGCUUGACCUACAAAUCCUUCUCUCUGUAUCUUUUUCUCUCAUAUUAUAACCAAGUUAUAUUUGCAAACUAGAAUGCAUCUUUAUUUUUCUCCAUUCUCAGAUUAAUUAUAUACAAACUUAUAUUUAUGCACAUGUAGGGAAUUUUGGUCAUUAGGUUAUAUAGAGAUAGAUUAUAGGGUCCUAGGAUCUGAUCUUAGAAUUUGAACUAGGAAGUUUGUUCUUAGGCCAUCUGGUGUGGAAUAAUCUCUGGUAACUUUUACUUCAUUCAUUCUAACAGAAUAAAUAAAGGCGUGCUCAACCUAGCUUUAAUCAUGGCUAAAACUGGUAAGUAAAAAGAGGAGCUAAUUUUCCCCCCGGUCUACAUAUUGCCUUAUUGCUAGUUGGACUGAUAUUUUGUUGUUCAGAAUCAGGCUGAAUUUGCUGACUGUAUUAACAUCCUCUAGGAAUUGUCUAAAUAAGUGGUUCUGAUACUCUUGCACACUGGUAGGGAAUAAACCCCAAAUUUAGCUGGGCUGUAUCCUACCCCUUAAAGAGAUGACAAUGGAGCUUCCUGCUUGGGAUUAAUGAUGUUCAGAUUCGGUGGUGUCUUAUCAGUGCUUUGCUGUUCUUCAUAUUGAUUCCAGCAGUAACUCCUAAUCUUACUAGAGAGUGAACAGCUUUCCUGUCCACUCCUUUAGCACCACUCAGAGAGAGAAAAGCAAGCUCGAGUGACAGUCCAUCCCUGUCACUUCAGGACAGCUGUCAGUACUGUGCAGAGCUUUACAGAGCUCAAACUUCCAAGUACUGUUUACAAAUUGGGCCACCCAUUUCAUGGUGCCUGGUGGUUAGUUAUGCAGCUAACCAACCCAGGGAGAUCUUGAGAAGGUUCAUAGAAAAUUCAUUUUUAUUCACAGCCUACUGGUACCCCUACCAGCAGUAAGAAUUUGUGAUUGAAUGCUGAUUGUUGGAGUACCUUACCUGCCAACUUCAUCCAGUGAGUUCUGCACAAAUGGUUCUCAGGGGGCAACACGAGCUGUGCAGGAGUUUGGGUGUGUGGGUUAGUGAAGUGGGGAGGAGGCUAGCAGGGAGACAGGGGAUGUAGAGAAGGCAGGGAGGAAGAGAAGGGAUAGGAUGAGGCCCUCCUAGAAUAUUGGCUUCCAUUGGAGAAGAGAGACAGUCUCUCUCUGGAUCCUGUAAUCGUGGGGAUGGGAAGAGUCCCCAGUUUGGCUCUGAAAAUGACCUGAGUGAAGUGUGGAGACCGAAAGCACAACCAAUGGGAUGGCCAGAGGAUGCUGUGAGACCCAAGGGGGAUGGUCUGGUAAGUGGGGGUGAAACUCAGUUAUUAGAGCAAAGAGUUACUUC